UGCCGCGCCGUCGUCCCGCCGCCGUGAGGUGCCCUUUUUGCCGUCGCAUCGACCCGUCGUGGGAAGGGGGAAGAGAACAGCGUCGCGCAACCUCGCGGCAUACAGAUGACAGAUCCGCCAAGGGUGCCCGGGACGCUCGAGGGUCUGGGCCUACGCCUCACCCAGGCCUUCUUCGCAGUGGCUGCGCUCGCCGUCAUGACUCAUGGCGUCCAACAACGAGUUCCCAUCAGUCUUCGUGUUCAGGACGUGUGCAUGCGCGUGUGAACUGUAAGGAGUGUCAAGGGAGAAGUAAGGUUGCUCCAUGAUACAAGAUUAUUUCUAGGAAUUAAAGGGAUCCUAGAAUUGAUGGGAUUUGGCAGUAAAAGUCCAAUAACGAGGACUUCAUUUGUGCCUCGGGAUCACCGCUUGCCAUUUGCAGAUGUCCACUUUCUAAAGGUGUGAGUUCAUUUUCUCCCCCACCAUAUGACAUUUUAUUUCCAUGGUCUUUUUGACUAGUCCUCGGUAAAUCCAUUAGAACUUUUUAUUGUUUUGGUAAUAUCUUAAUUAUAAUUUCUUCGCUAGGAUUUUUACCUUUCCUAUUAAGCUCCAGAUAAAGCCUUACACACAUAUAUACAAAUUUUGAAGGGAAAGGAUGAGAGUUUUUAGUAGUAGGUUUUGAGAGACAAGAUGAGUUGAGAGCUUUUCCAUGAGUAAGGUGCAAUGAUGUUUAAAUUCUGAUCUUGGCUAGAACUUUAUUGAAAAAUUUCUGAAGUCCAUUUGAGAUUGAGAGCAUAUGAACAAAUUGUAUAGUGGGGUUAUCUUAAUUCAUAUCUACCCUCCAUAUUAGAAAGAGCUGAUUACAACUUGAACUUUAAUUGAUAAAUCUUUUGAGAGCACUUUGUUUUCUUGUGUGUGAUCAAGUGUAUAAGUUAGAUAAUAAAGGGCAAUGCCGAUUUCUAUUUUAAUUCUAAAUAAUGCUUACUCGAGGACGAGCAAGGUUUAAGCAUGGGGGAUUGUUGGCGCUCAUUAUUGCACCACUUUUAGUACCAUUUACAUUCAUAAUUUGGAUUUAUAUUGAUACUAAUGGCCAACAUGAUUUCCACACAUAUGUCUAUUUUUGGGAGAUGUGCGUUUAUGUAGGAUUUUGGGCCUUAAUUGGACCUAUUUUGGAGCGAGCUACAAGCCCGUCCAUGAAGAGCAUUGAAGCCCAUGGGCUUAAGAGGAGUCUUGGGCCUGUCCAAUAUGGAAGAAAUAGAGUCCCAAGGGAGUCCCAUCCACGUCCAUACAAGAAAAGGCAGGAAUAUCAAGAAAGCAGGGCAGCCAGGCAAAGAUUGGAAAGUGUUCAGAUGAGGCGCCCCCAAAAACCGUCAUUCCACGAGGUUCCAGAAGCACCAGAGGACUUGGGAAGACUCGGGAGAGGCGAAGCGGAGGCCAAGAAGCGGAGGAGCUCGGGAGAAGCCAGCGGCGGAGCCAGUGGAGGAGCGAGUUGUCUAGGCUUCGGCCUAGCCAAUGUGGGAGUCCUGCGAGGAAGACCACGUCGGAGUCGUCUAGAUUAAAGUAUGGCAUCGGUUGUGAUCUAGCGGUUGUAUUACAUUCUUGGUGAUGCAAUCAUGUUUCCGAUUGUUCUAGCGAUCAGAGUACCUCCUUUUAUGAUCUUGUUCUCGUUGGUUUUACUUCAUUCUUAAUCUAUGAGUGCUAUAGAUUA